GAGAAUCUGUAGUGGGCUUAAUUGACUUUUAGCUAAUCUCAACCAAUGGAAGAUGAGAUUCUGCCUGAUCAUGAUGUUGAUUUGAACAUGUUGCGUGCACAAAGGUUUUAGCAUAUCUAUUCUUGAUUUAAUGUGACAAGAACUCAGUCAGAUUGAGGUUGCUCAUAUUGUCGGAUGAGGGUUGUUGUAGGCUGAAAACCUGUGUAAAAUUUGUCAAUUUGGGAAUAGGAGCUAGGAGAGGUAGAGAUAAGUAAAAAGAGA
rnacentral:misc_RNA from 1 species